rnacentral:rRNA from 1 species
UACAGGGGGUGCAAGCGUUGUUCGGAAUUACUGGGCGUAAAGGGCGCGUAGGCGGCCGCCUAAGUCAGACGUGAAAUCCCUCGGCUCAACCGGGGAACUGCGUCUGAUACUGGGUGGCUUGAAUCCGGGAGAGGGAUGCGGAAUUCCAGGUGUAGCGGUGAAAUGCGUAGAUAUCUGGAGGAACACCGGUGGCGAAGGCGGCCUUCUGGACGGAUACUGACGCUGAGACGCGAAAGCGUGGGGAGCAAACAGG